CAUGUAAUAUUGUGCCUCUUGGCAAUUACUUAUUUUAAUCAUUUUGGAAAUAUACAAUAGCCUUAAGCAUAUAAAUGGUUAUUGAUAUAACAGAAAUUUAUUUGCUGCUUUAAAUAUUUCAUUUAAAGAUUGUCAGUUCUAUAAGGCUUUAUGUUUUGGACUCCUUUGAGUAUCAGUUAAAAGCUAUAGGCCUGCUCCAGAAAAAUUCCUAUACCUGCAUAUAUAUAAUUUUUAAAAUUGCCAAUCAAAGUUCCCACAGACUUCAUGGAGCCCAUCUAUAAAAUCUUCCUGGAGCCUGUGGCCCUGAGUAACAACCAAAUAAAACGUUAUUGGACUCUCAAUGCAACUCUUAAUAAAUAUGCUUUGAAAAUAGCUUGGAGUAUUUCAAAUGAAAAGAAUUUAAUAUUCUUUUACCAGCACUAGCUAUUUUUUUUUUUUAAAUGAACUUUCUUUGGAAUCAGUUCCUUGUGUAAUAAUGGCUAAAACCUUGAAACAGUUUAGCUUCUUUAUCUUGUACAAUAUAAAAAUGAGAUAAAGACAUACAUUUUGCCAUAGGAAUGAACACAUUGAUCACAUUAAUGAAAUGCUUUUUAUUGAAUAUAUAAUGGAGGCUAUUACCAGACAUGCAAAUAUGCAGCCAGAUAGAGCUAGCCAAACAGAAUGUGGCAGUUUUAAAUUUAAGCCCCUUUUGAUGUAUGCAGUCCACAUUAUUUGUUAAAUUUGAUUUUUUAAAAUAUAUUUUGUCCAUUGUCCUUUCACUACUAUAAAUUGCACAGAUAAUCCCUAUGGAGGGACAAGAUAAAGGUAUUUUUUCCUGUUCAACUUCUCGUUUCCAACCUAGACUUUGCCUAACAUUCUCUUUCUUCUUACAAAUAAACUAGUAAAAACAGUACAUUUCUUUUUUGCCUAUAGCCAUAUUUCAUAAUUUCACAUGAAAUAGUGUUUGAAAAUGUGCACAUUUUAUUUCUAUCCCCAUUUCUGUGAAAAUUAAAGCUUGGUAUUUAAGCACUUUUCAAGGUCACAAGAGCUCCUAUUUGGCUUAGGUAGGAUUUUGGGUUUUUUGGUAAUCUAACACUCAUCCCAAGAAUCAGGACUGAUUUGAAAAAGAGACAAAAAUAUUCAUUUAAAAGACAAUGAAUGAAACAUUUACAUAAUCGUACAUUAAAAUGCACUUGCCCAGUAUUCAUUUUUGGAACAUGUACAAAACUUUGUUAUUUAUCUAUAAUAUUUAAUAGUAUUUGUCAUUUAUGCAGAGAUGCUUUUCUCCAUACAUUUACACUGUAAGUAGUUUUCUCUAACUCAUGAUCAAAGACAUUUCGAACUUGAUGAAUUAGUAUGUUUUUGUUGUUUUGUUUUGCCGUGUAUUUUCUGUCAGAAUUGUGAGCUGGGAGAAGUUUCUGUCAUGACUCAGGAGUAAAACAUCCUGGAUGGAAUUUAUAAUCAAUACACAUUUAUGUUCAUAUUCCAAGUAGCAUUCUCUAUCAGUCCGUUUCUUUAGGAUGCGUUUCUUUUUUCCUCUCAAUUACAAUUCCUCGUUAGUUUUCGGCUAAUUUAUAUCUCUAUUAGAGCUACUAUACCUAGUACUGGUUUUGCACCAAAUACAUUCCACAUAUUCUUUUUUGUGGAUUAUUUUUAUCCUUCAAAACAGCUCUAUUAGGUAAAUGUUAUUUUUAUCCUCAAUUCCUUGAUGAAGAAACUUGAGUUUCAGAGAUAUUAAGUGAUGUAUCCAAAGAGUUUGUUUACACUUCACAACAAACUAUCACCGAUUAAGUGACCACUUCAAUGUCACCUCUCCUUUGAAAGUUAGUGAUCUCUUUAUUUUCUACAACUUAAGGUACAUUUUACAUAUUAUACAAGUCACUCAUUUAAAGUUUAAAAUUCUAUAAUGUUUAGUAAAUUUAUCGAGUCGAGCAACCAUUCCUAUAAACCAGUUUUUAAACAUUUUUAUCUCUCCAGUGAGAUCCCUUGUACCCAUUUAUUAAUAUCUGUUCCCAUAUACAUGGAGUCAGAUAUCUCCAUAAAAUUGACCUUUUUGGAUAUUUCAUAUAUAUGGAGUCAUGCUGUAUGUAAUAUCUUGUAUCUUGCUUUUUAGUAAUCAUUUUUGUUAUUACUUUUAAGGGAAUAUACCUUUAAAUGUCAUUAUAAUUAUCAAUAUUAUAAAAAUAUAAUAAUUAAUCCUUAUAUCCCCAGAAAUAUGAAUAAUUUCUCCCCAAAGCAUUCUAGUUGGCACAAAUCUUUAUUUUGCUCAAAAAGUUCUGGUAAAGUUAAAUAACUUGUCUUAAGAGUAACAAAUUAUUUUUAUUGCUUUCAAACUGGUAUUUCCAUCCUUUGGUACCUGUUAAGAAAGAGAUUAAGUAGCUCCUUUUAAAGAUCUCAAAACGUAUGAAAACAAACAGUAGUCAAGACAGUAUUAAUUGUCCCAGGAGACUGUAUUGACUGGUAUUUUCAUAGGCAUUGUUUUGUCGGUGGUUUGGAGGGAUAACAUCCUGUUAUGGAAAUUUCUCAGUUUUCACAACUGAUCCAGGUUCCCAUUCUCAAUCAAGCCAGUAAUUCUUCCUUGACACAAAACACAUCCGUUGUAAUUACAAAUGACUUUUUUCGUACAACAGUCUCAUAUUUAUAUUAAUGAUGAUGUCUGUUUGUUAUUUGUUGGGAACAUUUUUGUUUUAUUUUGUUUUGUUCCUAUAUUUCAGCAUCUACGCUAACUGCUGAGUAGUUCCAACUGUGCCUCUUAUGUCAAAAGUUGCAAAACUUUUCAGUUCUCCCAGAGUAAAUUAAAUGAGCAGAAAUAAAUGCUCACCAUUUCCUGGCAAUUCUAUACAAGGCAUCAGAAACUCCAAACUGCAAAAUUUAAAUGAUGCUAAAUCUAAUACAAUAAUAAAUAUGAAUAUUAUUGGAAAUAGUAAGCAAAGGUAUUUACAUUGCAAAAUAUAGCACAUGAUCCGAAUUUUAUUUGCUUUUAAACUUAAGCUGCCAUUCCUCAGUUUAUAGUAGCAAAUUAAAUUAUGCAAUUAUAAAUUUUGAGCCAAUAUCAAGCUAGUUUUAUUCUCCAAACAAAUAUUAAACAAGUAAUUUGAGAAGAUGGCCAGAAAUGGUCAAUAACAAAGUAGUUUAUUGAAGAGUCAUUAUAUCUCUGGAAAAUCAAAUACAAAAAAAUAAUAAAGAUAAAAUGAAACUUAAAAAGCUUAUUUUAGUUUUUCAUAGUCAUGAUUGAAUUUUUGUCCCCUAUGUUUUUAUUUGGAGACAAUGAUUUUAUGAGUGACUCAACAUUAGUAAAACAGAGAAAUAUUGAAUGUUUUAUGAUUUCUGUAGUGCUUAUAUGAGUGCAGUAAUCAACAAGUCAAUAUUUGAAAGCACUUAGAAAAGUAUCUGGCACAAAAUUGGCAUCAUUAAGUGUUUGGUAAGUAAGAUUGAUAAGACUCCCCAAACAAAGUUUUCUUCUCGAUUUAACUUUGAAAACUAUUUUUGCUUUGACAGUCUUCUGUCCAAUCAACUUUUAAAAAAUUCCUCUUGAUUUAUGUAAUAGAAAAAAUGUAAAUAACCUAUAGGUAUACAAUUUGAAAAUAUACAUCUAUAGUAACAUGGGCUCUGCACAAGGCAUUAUUUAUUUAUACACCAUUUAUUUCAGAAAAACUCAUGCUUUAGAGUUUAACAGAUAGGUACUCUAGUUGAGAUUCAUGUUCUUUCCUUCAUUUCCGGCAAGAUUUGAGAUAUUGUGCUUACAUUCCUGAAUUUAUUUUUAUUGUGUUAAAUAUAAUGAAACCUGAUUAGAGAAAAAAAUAGAUAAAGGACUGCAAAAAAUAUUGUGUUAAAAGGGAAGAGUGCCAGAGAUUGAUUUUUUCUCCUAUGUUGUGUUUGUGUGUGUUAAUCUCCAGUAGCACAAAGCACAAAUCUUCAUAUGCAGUAAAGAGCUAAACCUUCAAGGAAAGGGAAGAUCUUAUGACACUACCAUCUUUGGUGUGGGAUUUACUUAAUUUGGCAGACAUCUUUAUUUCACUAGGCUGAGGAGAUUUGUCCUGGGUACGGUCAAGACCUAGCAUGUCCUUGGAUAUUUCAUGGGUUCCGGACCAAUGUGAUUUUUGUCUGGUACAUUUGAGCAUAGUAUUAAUUUUAACUUUUUGCUAUAAUUGGGGUUUUGUAUACAUAUUUCCAACUUAUCUUUUUAGAAUUUACAAAAGCAAUUAGGUGUUGAUGGACAAAAAAAGAGCAACAGGACUAAAGUGCUUGCCAACAGAAUUGGUCAGAGGGACAGUUCCUGUUAAACGGUUUUCCCUUUCUGCUACUCGUUGAAAGAUAAUAGUAUCUUACCUGAACUGCAAUUAUAAAAACAGAAUUUACAUGUGCUUCUGGCAAAGGUUCAAGGGACCAAGUAUUUACAUUGAGUGGUUUCAAAGGUGCAGCUUUGGACGUAAAUGUAAGGAAAGGACUAUCCCUCUUACAGGUUAUCUGUGUUAUUUUAUCCACAUCUCUUCAGGAAUAGACUCCAUUCACUAAGAUUUCCACCUUUCUGAGUUUAGCCGCCAGUGCUUAUUCAGCCUUCCUUCUAUUUUAUGAGAUAACCCAGAUCCUUUCUAAUACAUUUCUAGCACCACCCCUCUAAUUGUGAAUUACCCCUCUAAUUUUGAAUUCACUUUUGUUCAGUCAGAAUUAGUAUGUUCUCGUUAUUUGAAAUCCAACUAUCUUAAAAGGAUUUUAUAAAAUCACUCAUAAACCUAUGGGUUUUAUAUGUAUAAUAUAAGGCAAUAUAUAUGCAGCCAAAAAGUGCUAUAGAAAUGGAAGCUAUUAUUUCUGACUGGGAUGGUCAGAGAAACCUUUACAGGAGAGAUUAAACCUUUGAAGAAGUGUCUCAAAUAAGUUUAAGUCAAUAACUAAUAUUUAUUUUUAGUUAUUUCAUAUUAUUGUAACACUUUUUCACUUAAUUAUUCUCAAAAAAAUAGUAGGUUUGCAAAAUCAGAUUUUUUUUCACAUCUUAACAUUGACAAAAUUGCAUAGUGGAAGAAUAUAUAUUGUAGUCUUUUGUUUUUCCCCAUCCCCAAUAUGUAUUAUAUUUUUAAUAAACACUAGGAACUGUGUUCAUCUCUUUUUAUGUCUUCCAGCAAUUCUUUUAAUUAUAGACUGAUUUGUCUCAAUAUUUAAAAUUUAUUAUUAAUUGAUAAAUUACCCUUGUCUCUACCAUGUAGAACAUAUAUUUUUUUUUUUUCUGAAAUAGAUAUCAUUGUGGAAUUGCUACACAAGCUAAUUUUAAUGUGGUGAUUUACUCCAAUUUUUACAAAUAACAAAUCAGAGUACUAAAGUGACUUGUUUAGGAUCAUAUUAAAAGCAAGUGGUUCAGUUCCAGCAAGGACCCUUCACCUCUGAGUUAGUUCAGUUUCUUUCUUUCAUAUAGUUUCUUGAAAGAGGAUUAGCAGAGUUUUAACAGAAAAAGAGAGAUGGAGAAUGCUCUUGGGAGGGGCCUGAGACAGGGCAGGUAGAGAAGAGAGAACGACGUUCAGAAGACUAUAAGGCAAGUCCAGGUGGGGGUGCUAAUGGCUUGACCAGGGCAGAGAUUUGUGCAGGAAAGUGGUUAGAGAAACACCUGAAGUGGCAGGCUAGUGUUAAAUUACAGUGAGCACAAUAACUUUCUUGAUGUUUUAGUUGUUUCCAAUGUUUUCAAACUGAAAUGUGGGAAUGUGUUCUUAACUUUAUAUGAGAUUAUAUAAUAGUUUCCUUUAAAGGAGUUAAAAUAAUUACACUCAUUAGGAAGCAAUUCAAGAUAGCAGGAGAGGGAUGUGAACAAAAUAGUGAUUUCUAGAGAUAAAUUUUUCAAAUUUAUUCAAAUUUUUAUCAAGUAUUUAUUGAGAGCCAAUAAUAUGUUAGUACCUAGGGUCAACAAAAUGAACAAGAUAUCUUCCCUAUUUUCCAGGAAUUUAUAUUUUCAAGGAAUGUACAUUCUCCCAAGAAUUUAUGUUGAAACAGAGAAAUGUACUAAACAGAUAAAGUAGUUAUAAAAUUAUGUAUUAAGAAUAUAUUUUUAUAACUUGUGGAAUGAGAAUUUAGCCUAUAGUAAAACUUAAAAGCUCAGAGAGUGAAUUGUUUUCUUUUUUAAAAGAAGAGGGGUAUCUUCAAGACAUUCAUCAAAAUAUGAGUGGAUAUUCAAGCAGUAAAAACAUGUUUCAUUGCUUUGAGAAUUACAGUCUUAGUAGAUCACCUAUGAGUAGAAUGCAGGUCAAGACCUUGAGAACUUCUUGUACAAUCAUUUGUUAGUGUUUUUCAGUAAGACGAAAAAUAGAAAUUAACAAUUUGACUAUUUUCCCACUGUGUACUUAUCCAUAAGAAGGUCAAAUGAAAAGUGUGCUUUAAUCUGACAUUUUUAGAUAUUAUUGGAAACGAUCAAGAACUUAAAGCACGUAGAACAUAAACAGGCAAAGCGUAUUCUUUCUGGGAGAUAAGAAAAGUUUUGCUAUGUUUUAAAAAUAUAUUAUUCAAAAAUUACAGAAAAGCUUGAGUUAUAAAUAGUAAAAUUAUUCAUAUUUUUGAAAUCCUUGUUGACAAACCUAUAUUAUUAGUGUAUUUGGACACUUCUCUAUUCUACAAUUUAAUUACCAAUUUACAUUAACAGCUUUUUACUGGAUUCUGACCACCCAACAUUUUCAAAGUAGAAAUCCAAAAUUCUGUUUUAGAAAGUACAUUCUGCAAUUUGCUAGUUUAUCUUUCUCAAAAAUGAUCCAUUAAUUGCUCAGCUUCCUCUCUAUUUUGAAUCAAUUAUAAACAAAACGAAAUAAAACAUUUCCUCUUAAUUUAAGAUAUCAAAGUCUAGGUGAAAUUACCAUGAAGAAGUCUUGCAGACUCUGAUUUUGGAAAAGUAAAAAUUAGCCCUACAGUGAUUCAUACAUUUAUUUACUUAACAAACAUUGAUAUUCUGUUCACAAUUAGCGUCUUUGCCUGUCCUGUUUUCUGCGUGUCUAAUGUUUUGAUGCCAUUAGAGAUAUGAAGCAUAGCACCAUAGUAUAGUAAGAUGAACUGGGUAUCAAAGGGCUAGUGACAGGAAUCAGGUAGUAUCUUUAAGCCUUAGUGUCUUUGUCUGUACGAUAAGGAAUUUAGAGUAGAAUUUCUAAGAUUCUUUGCAUAGUUAACAUUCUAUGAGGACCUUCACAAAACUUUUUUUAAUAUUAUAAGCCUUACAAAAUGAGACUGGCAAGUAAGAUUUCAAUUGAUCAAUUUUAAUGUCAAGAAGGUCAUACAUAUUUGAUGUGCCUUUGGUAGCUAUCUAAAGUUGUAUUAUUUUUAAUAACUCUAUCUCAAUAAUUUGUUUUAUUUUGUUUAAAAACUGCAUUCACUACUUGUAUUUAUAUCAGUAAAUUAAAACAUCAUAUUUUUUUCUUGAAGACAAAGCACUUUUUCCUUGAAGCAUUAGCCUAAGUAACUUCUUAUUCUCUUGCUAAGUUUUCUAUCUGGAAUGAUCUUUUGCAGAUUGUCAAAAUGGCUUUCUCCUUCAUUCACUUAGGGCUCCUUUCAGUACUUUCUCAUUCAUUGUUUCUAUCCUUUUUCAUUUACAUUUUUCAAUCUCUUUUCUCAUCAUGGCACUUAUCACUGCCUGACUUUAUAUUGUACAUUUACUUUUUAAUUGUAUAUAUUUUUAUAACUAAUUAGAAAGAAAUUUUAUCAGUCAGGUUUCUUUACUCGCAGUUAAUCCAUAUCCUUGUUGCCUAUAUUUACUAUGCUAUCCAAAGAGGUAGACACUAACCACAUGUGACAAUUUAAAUUUAAAAGUAAAAAUAAAUGGUAUAAGAAAAAUAUUUCUUCAGUCACACUAGCCACUUUUCAGUGCUUGCUAGUUAUGUGCAUCUGGGUUUAAUGGGCAGUACUAGAGUGACUAUCAUAUAAUUGGUGCACAACAAGUAAAACUUAACAAAUGAGUAAAAAAAAAAAGAAAUCUUAAAAGUUACGGUAUGCUUUUCAAAUUAAGAUUUUUCUCCAAAUGUCCAUCAAUCAAUGAGUGAACAAAGAAAUUGUGAGAUAUAUAUAUGUGUUUAUAUGUGCACAUACACAUGUAAGUAUAUAUGUAUAUAUGUGUGUGUAUAUAUGUGUGUGUGUGUGUGUGUAUGAAGGAAUUAAUGGCAUUCUCAGCAACCUGGAUAGGAUUGGAGACUAUUAUUCUAAGUGAAGUAACUUGGGAAUGGAAAACCAAACAUCGUCUGUUCUCAGUCAUAAGUGGGAGCUAAGCUAUGAGGAUGCAAAGACAUAAGAAUUAACUUUGGGGACUUAGGGGAAAAGGAUGUUGGGAAGUGGGUGAGGGUUAAAAGACUACAAAUCAGGUUUGGUGUAUACUGCUUGGGCAAUAGGUGCACCAAAAUCUCACAAAUCACCACUAAAGAAAUUACUCAUGUAACCAAAUACCACCUGUUCCCCUAAAACCUAUAGAAAUUUUUUAAAAAAUUAAAGUUAUAUUACAGCUGCUGGUAUAAAAAGGACCUUUCAGUUUUGUUUUUUAAAAAUAGAAUUAUUCACAUGCAGUUAUAGAUAUUAUAAGAGCGAAAGCAUAAAGCCUAUUUCUCAGGAUUUUAUUCACCAGUAAAGUAAAAGUUUUCCAGGGCAAAUCACUAGGAUAAUUUUUUUCUCUUUUCAAAUGUGAUUUCAUUAAAAGAAAAUGUACAUGUUUUAUAGAUAAAUAACUUACUGAAAUUAACAGAAAAUUUAUAUUAGUAAAAUAGAAUUAGUGUUAAUAUACAAGAUUACAUGAGGAAUUAUACCUCACAUGCCAAUUAAAAAUACCUUUAAGGUUAUUUUCUAUGAUUUAAUAAAUAACAGCACUGUCAAGAUAAAAGUCCCAAAAUAUGUUUUUUAAAAAAUCUUUAAUUUGCUUCACAUUUUUAGAUUCAAUAAAUAUUAGAAAGUGUAGAUGAUAGAAAGUGACAGGGUUGCAUUUGACAUAAAAUAUCUUUUAUAAUAAUAAUUGUAUAGAACUGCUGAUAUAGCAAGGUAAGCGACUUGCCAUUUCAGUAAACUCAGAAGUCUCACAUAGAUACACAGAAAUUAGCAUGAUAAUCAUAUGACACAGGUUUUUCCAAUUUCUCCUUAAAGCUCUAUUAGUCAACUGUAACAUAUAAAUUGUCUUGUUGGUUUUAUUGCUGUAUAUUUCUCAUGAAAUUUUUACAAUUCUAUUAUACUUUUAAAAUUCAUUAGGAGGAGUGAGAUCUAGUGUUCAGUAGCAACUAUAGUCACAAUAAUUACAGUACAGGGUGACUAUAGUUAACAAUAAUUUAUUGUUUAUUUCAAAAUAACUAAAAGAGUAAAAUUGGAAUAUUCCUAUCACAAAAAAAUUGUAAAUUCUAGAGGUGACGGAUAUCUCAGUUAUCCCAUUGGACCAUUAUACAUUGUACACUUGUAUCAAAAUAUCACAUGUACCUCAUACAUGUGUACAACUGUUAUGUAUCCAUAAUAAUUAAAAAUUAAACAUUAAAAAAUUUCACUUUGUCCUCUGGAGAACACGGGCUUUAAAAUCUCUAUAUUGUGAAUAUAGUUGCAUUUUCUCAUCUAUAUUAAAAAUAUAAAUAAAUAUGAUUUCUAAAUUUUAUUACAAUCAAUAAUCAUAGAACUGUGAUAAUGUUUGUGAUUAUGCAUAUUUAGGUAUAGAGUUGUAUAAAAUGUAGGAUGCAGUUUAAUAAGAGCAUUAGUUGAUCAGUUGUAUUUUAGAAAAAUAGCGUUUUACAGCUGUUAAAGAUGUUGGAAAGUCUUCUACCGGAAAUAGAAACUGUCUCUAAGGAAACCCACUAUCUAAUCCUCUCAGGUUAUAACAAGCCAUACUAUAUAAAUCAAAUCCAUUCGCGGACACUUUGGUGCACAUUUCUAUACUCUGCCUUUCCUCUAUCCCUAGAGGUUCAACAAGACUUGGGGAAAGACAGUUAUGAUUGUUUUCAGUUACUGAAGAAAGAGGCUUUUAUAUUUACUAGGAGGAUCAGAGAGGCAUCCUGCAACCUGGAGAGCUCCCUUGGCUCCAAGUUUUAAGUCGUUGGGUGUGUUUGUUCUUUUGUUUGUGUUUCAGGGCGUUGUGGAACAGCAUGACCAUCAUGUUCAGCUUUGAUGCCUGUGGGGGAUAGGUUAGAUAUAAAACACAGUACAGAGAAAGACUUGCUGCAUUUUUAUUGAAAAGUUUAGAGGAAAAAUGUGAAAUUGUUUGCGUCCACAUAAAUGGAAAGAAAUAAACCAACAAAAUACUUGUAAGUUGCUGUUAAAGUUAAUGAUAGCUCCCUCUCUUUAAAGACUCAUUGAAAAUGGCCUUGAUAUUUCUGUUUUUGCUUUAUAAUACUGUCUUUUGUGCAGAUGUUAACAGCUGAGCCUUAUAAAGCCCAUGAAUUUUCCAUGUCUGAAACUUAAUGGUCAGUUAAUGUGUAUAUUUAUUUUGAGGGUAUAGCAGAACAAUAUGUUAAAAAAUAAACAUUAGUAUAUAUAAUGAA